AGACCUGUGCCGUUUGCGAGCCUUUAUUUCUAAAAUCAAUACUCACAUUAGGAAAAAAAUUCAAAGAGAUACUCAAUCGGCACAAAUCUGAAAUUAGGGCUGAAAUGGAGAAACUAUUUGACGAUAUAAAGGACAUAGGUUGGUGUGGAAGUUGUGAACCAUUAUUAAAUUAUGAAAGGGUUAAAAUUUUAAAAAAUUAUAAUAAUUUAGUGGAAGGGAUUUUUAUAAAACUUUUACAUCAAACAAAAAAGGUUUGUAAACCUAGAAACUUGUACAAUGAUUAUAAAAUGCAAACAUUUAAAAGAAAGCGAAAGUGACAAAUGUG
rnacentral:lncRNA from 1 species